AUGCGCGCCGCUCUCCCUACUUCCGCAGUGAGCGUGUCCCACCGCGACGCGCUCCAGGCCUGUGGCCAGCAUGCCCGCUUAUGGCUCGCCCGCGCCGAUGAGCCGAUCCACCCUGGCUCCUCUUUUACUUAUGGUGCGGUGAGGGUUAAGCUGGACAGGAUAAUGGCAUCAGACUACUACAAACAGCUGCAAUUGGUGGGAGCUAUGGAGCUGAAGUGCACAAUACUCCUAGCAUUAUUAUUAUCUGCUGCUGCUGUUGCUGUUGCUGCCGAUUCAGUAGUAAUCAUGUACAUUGAGUGUUUAAGAAACAAUCCAGUGAAUGAUCGCCACCUAACAACAACAAAAGGGCAACCUGGUGCAUGUAGCUCCCGCUUGCGCAGGGUCCAGGGAAGGGUCCGACCACUUUGGGUCUAUAGUAUGCAACCUUUCCCUACAUUUCUUAUAACUCAUGUGGCUAGUGCACCGUAUGUGCCCCCAACUUACUUUUGUGUAAGGGCUGCCAUUAUGUUCCAAGGUGCUGAAGGUAAGAUCGGGAUGAGUGCUCAACCCAUCUGUACACAUGCUGCACUAUGCCCCCGUGCCGCUGCCAUCCUUAUCUUGCCUCUCCUGGAUCUGAGUCCCAACAGUGUCGUCUUGCUGUCCCUUCCCGGGGCGGGUCGACGAAUCAUCCCACACUGCGCGACGCACGGGGUGAGCAGCGAAGGAAGUCUGGGGUGGCGCCCGAGAAGAUUGGAGGCGGAUGGGGAGGUGGCGGAUGGUCGAAGAAGAAGACCGGCCGCGCUGCCGCACAUGGCAGCGGCGGCGGCGCAGUACUCGUACGCGAGGAUGAGAGCCCGUGCUCGUGCCUUGUGCCAUUUGUCACCACCAAAGAAGAUGUGUGACCUUUGCAAGCUGAUUUUGAGUCUCCCCCAGUGGAUGCCAACGGGUGUCAACCGAAGGUCUCAUUUUCGCAAGGGCGUCUACUCGGUGGUGAUUUCCUUGCUACGAUGCAUUUGGCUUGAGAGGAGCCUGCAUGUCUUCAAGCACACCUCCUUGCCCCCUUCGGCGGUAGUUGAUAGAGUAAUUGAUCAUUGCCAUGAGUGGCGGAUGGUAGGAAACAAUAGUUUAAGAAGAGUAGUACCAUAUGUCCCAUGUUGUAGACCGCUCGGGCUGCCACCCUUGUUGGCGUCAUGGGGCUACUCAUCUAAAUCGUAA
rnacentral:rRNA from 1 species